AUGCACACUUCAGCAGCACGUAUACUAACAUUGGAACAAUAUGAAGAGGAUUAGCAUGACCCCUUGGCAAGGAUGACAUGAAAAUUUGUGAAGCAUUCCAUAUUGUU
rnacentral:snRNA from 1 species